rnacentral:lncRNA from 1 species
UGCUAGCUAAGUGUUAUAUAGCGAUAACGAAAUGAAGAACCCCUCAGCGUCAUCACCACUGAAAGGAACGUACAUGGAACCGCUGCAUCGACUGAGGCUCUCAGUGGGAUCUCGUCACAUCUACUUCGCGUUUGGUAUCCUGGCCACGAGCUAAUCCAGUAUAUCAUAGCCGAAACGGUAUUCAAGGUUUACCACCUCAUAUGAGGCGUUGCGAUUACGGCCUUAAUUCUCUGCAACCGGUCUUCUGGUAGAGUUCGUUUCCAACUCAUUUUCUGAUGCAAGACCUUCACGAGGAUGGUUGCUUCGGGGCGUAGACGCGCUUUCCUGCUAUUUGGUGAUUCAUUAACCCAACGCGCGUUUGAGUGCGGAGGCUGGGGUGCUCGUUUGGCCCACCUUUUGUCUCGCAAAGCAGACAUCAUCUGUCGAGGUUUUGGAGCUUACAACACAAGGUGGUGCCGUCAUGUGGUGAGACACAUCGGUUCUUACCGAGAUUACUUCUCUGUUGUCACCGUACUUUUAGGCACGAAUGAUGCGGCACUCCCAGAUGUCGAGCCUGUUCAAGCGGUUCCACUAGACGAGUAUGUUGAAAAUUUGGAUGAUAUUCUGAAAUACCUCCGUAACCGAAGUGAGUUUGUUAUACUUUUCUCUCCUCCAUCAGUAGGGGAACUCGGGCGACUACGAGCCCAACAUCACAAAUAUGUUGCUGACGCUCACGACUGGUUAGAUAGGAACAACCUACACUCUGCAAAAUAUGCAUCUGUUGCCAAGGUGGUGGCGGAAAAUCGUGCACUAGUUUGUGUCGACAUGUUCCGGCUCACCUCAGUGCAACUUUUUUUGGGUGAAAACAUGCUGAUAGAUGGCAUCCACUUCACUGCAACGGGACAUCUUUUUCUUCUGAAAAGUCUUUUGCACGAGCUUCGUGCCGAAGCACACAUCUUAUCCGCCGAAAACAUGCGACCAGACUGGC